rnacentral:piRNA from 2 species
UGCAUCUGGAAGUGUCCUGUUGCCCAACCU